AUAGAACCUGUUCUCUAAGACAGAACCUGUUCCGUCAAAACCUGUUCCCUCAGAACCUGUUCCCUAAGGUAGAACCUGUUCCCUCAAAAUCUGUUCCCUAAGAUAGAACCUGUUGCCUCAAAAUCUGUUCCCUAAGAUAGAACCUGUUCCCUAAGAUAGAACUUGUUCCAUUAAAACCUGUUCCCUCAAAAUCUGUUCCCUAAGGUAGAACCUGUUCCCUCAAAAUCUGUUCCCUAAGAUAGAACCUGUUCCCUAAGAUAGAACUUGUUCCAUCAAAAUCUGUUCCCUAAGAUAGAACCUGUUCUCUAAGAUAGAACCUGUUCCCUCAGAACCUGUUCCCUUAGAUAGAACCUGUUCCCUAAGGUAGAACCUGUUCCCUCAAAAUUUGUUCCCUAAGAUAGAACCUGUUCCCUCAAAAUUUGUUCCCUAAGAUAGAACCUGUUCCCUCAAAACCUGUUCCCUAAGAUAGAACCUGUUCCCUCAGAACCUGUUCCCAAAGAUAGAACCUGUUCCGUCAAAACCUGUUCCCUCAGAACCGGUUCCCUAAGAUAGAACCUGUUCCCUCAGAACCUGUUCCCUCAAAAUCUGUUCCCUAAGAUAGAACCUGUUCCCUCAAAAUCUGUUCCCUAAGAUAGAACCUGUUCCCUAAGAUAGAACCUGUUCUCUAAGAUAGAACCUGUUCCGUCAAAACCUGUUCCCUCAGAACCGGUUCCCUAAGAUAGAACCUGUUCCCUCAGAACCUGUUCCCUCAAAAUCUGUUCCCUAAGAUAGAACCUGUUCCCUCAAAAUCUGUUCCCUAAGAUAGAACCUGUUCCCUAAGGUAGAACCUCUUCCCUCAAAAUCUGUUCCCUAAGAUAGAACCUGUUCCGUCAAAACCUGUUCCCUCAGAACCUGUUCCCUAAGAUAGAACCUGUUUCCUAAGAUUGAACCUGUUCCCUAAGAUUUAACCUGUUCCCUAAGAUAGAACCUGUUCCCUCAGAACCUGUUCCCUUAGAACCUGUUCCCUAAGAUAGAACCUGUUCCGUCAAAACCUGUUCUCUUAGAACCUGUUCCCUAAGAUAGAACCUGUUCCGUCAAAACCUGUUCCCUCAGAACCUGUUCCCUAAGAUAGAACCUGUUCCCUCAGAUCCCGUUCCCUCAGACAAAACCUGUUCCCUGAAACAGAACCUGUUCCUUAUAAAACCAUUCCCUUAAGGCCGGUACAGUCCCUGAGAACAGAGCUCUGUUCUUAUUCGUAAGGUAGCAAGGCGGCCCUGGUUUUUGCGGCUUGUUCUUGACACAUCAGCUGAGCAGAACUUUUUUCUGAAUUGUGUAUGAACAUCAGCUUCGAAAAUUCAAAGUGGGUGUGAUUAACUUGAAAAAGCGUGAAACGGAAAGUUGGAAUUUCUGCUUUUAUACUGAUGUGAAAGGUUUAACAACACUGAACAGAUAGUUUGAAGGAACAGCUGGUCCAGGCAGUGAGGGGGUACAAAAAUUAAUGCAACACGUGGCAGAUAAAGACACGGACACCACCGCGUGCACAACUGCCAUCAUUGAUUAAGUAUCUUGUUCUUGCUGCCUUGAGAACAAACACAACGUUCUCUGUUUUGUGGAGUAUGGAACUAGCUUUAAAUAGAACCUGUUUCUUGAGAUAAAACCUGUUUUUUCAGAUCCUGUUCCUUCAGGCAGAACCUCCACUACAGCUGUUAUAAUGGUUCUGUCUCCAUAAGUGUGAAACUAAACGUGCAUGAGUCUGAUGUGCACUUCCACUUUAACCAUGAAUGGUUUCAGAUUAUUCCCCAAUAAUCAUUUACAUUACAAACAUUUGGACCUGAACAAGCAGACCAGACUGUGAAAGAAGAAGCGGUUUUCUGGACUCUUGGUUCUGGAAUCCUGACCAGGGAAAAACUGCUGACUGAAGGAAGAAAAGAUGAUCUCUGUAAGAUUGUAGCAGAGAGAAAAAAAGGUGGGAUUAAAAAGGAGAGACAAACACAUUAUCAGAACCACAGUAGGUCCAGUUCAUUAGAGUGUGAAACCCAAAGCAACAUGAGCCAACUGCCGUCAUGAGAUGCAUCCUGAUGCAGCAGGUAUAAAUAAAACUAAUGAUAAAAAAUAACAGGUCAAGUCGUCUAUUCUCUGUUCUGUUUGGUUCUGUUUCCUCCUCAACAUGGCAGCCUGAACUGGCUCUGAGGACACCUGGUCUGAAAGAUGACUGAGAUCACAUGAUGAACACCUGUGUGCAUGUCUGAGUGAUCCUCGCCAUUACUGGAUCAGUAUGUCACCAUGUUGCUCAGAUGGUGUCUCAAUCAUUGAUUUCCGGUUGGCUUUGGAUGGAAUUCGGGUCCAAAAAGUUUAUUUCAUCAACACAGAUUCAACAGUUAUGUCUGAAAACAUCCACAUGCUUCCAUCUGGAACUCAUGAGAAACACAACCAGUGAAGCUCUGAACAGAACCUCCUCUAGAACAGCUGAUGACCUCUGUUACCAUGGUGAUGAAAUGGUCUAAAAUGAAUAUGUUUUCUGUUUUCUUGUCAUUCUGGACACGUGUCCACACAAGAACCCGGUUUCUGUUGUCAGAACUCCUGCUCGGGUUUCGGUCUGGGUGAAAGUGAGAGGAACAGAAACACAACCAGGAAGAACCUGAGUCCGAUUAACGGGUCAGAACCAGCUCUUCAAAACACGCUUCACAUGAUUUCUGUCUUUAUUGGAAAACUAUCAGAACAUUCCAGAUGUUGAUGAGGAAAAGUAAAAAAAUCAGAUCUCAGAUCAAACGUGAGAACUGCAGCACCGUGGAGGUCUCAGAACUGGUCCACACUAGUCCAUCCAUGCGGGUUCCCAUCAUUAGUGUGUUCGUCUGUCUGGGCGCUCAGGUUCUGCUCAGCAGUAAACUGACCAGUAGAUGAGGUUGAAGAAGAUGUAGGAUCCGGGGAAAAUCAUGCGGGAGUAUUUAUCGAUGGCGUGGGUGUUCUGGAUGAUGUUCAGGGCCCGCAGGCUCUUCCUCUUCUUGGCGCCGGUGGACUCGCUGCUCAUGGACAGGUGCACCACCAUGUGCUCCGACUUGUCCAGGACCUUGUGCUUCUCUUCGGGCUCCUCCUCUGGCACCAUGGGCUCCUCGGUGUACCCGGCCAGGCUGUUAGUGUCGGCCUCGCUGUAGGUGCCAUCCAACAUGGUCAUGGUUCUGGUCUGGGAGAUGCUACAGGUGCAGGGCAGCGACUGUCAGGGAACAAACAAACAAACAUCAACAUUUCUGACAGAUGCUGCGACCCCUGAUGAUCCAUGAAACGGCUGAUCAGUGUGAUUACUGAUCAUCUGGUUCCUGCUUUAGAACUGGAACCAGACUUCUUAGAGCUCUUCUUUUCAAAGAUAAAAAGGGUUGAUGGGUUCUGUCAGGUGUCAUUACAACUGAACCGUCUCAAGUUUAUAGUCAAGUCCAGAUUCUGUAGACUGGGUUCAGUCAACAGAAAACUAUCAAAUAUUGGUUCAGAUGGAAAAAAACUGAUCCCUUUUGUCCCAAACUAUAAGAUCUGUGGAGGAAAACGAGCUCUUCCAUAUACCUACUGGGUGUAAUACCCAAAGAACCACUGGGUACUGGGUUGUAGCAGGCUUUGGUGCCACGUGGCCAUGCUAACUGAGUCAUUGUGAGACAAUAGAAAACAACCACACCAUCAUCAUGUCUGGAUGGUACUGAUGUCCAACCUAGCAGGUUAUCAUUCCUCAAAACAUGGAAACCAUGAUUAUUAAAAACCAUUAUUAAUGUUAAAGCUACCACCUCCGCUCACAUGUAAGUUUAUAUGUUUGUUUAUGUUGACAUAUUACCUUUAGCUCAUCUUUUUUUUACAGUGUGUGGCCAGAAUAACGUAUGCUGAACAUGUUCUGUGUUUUAUUCAGCUCAAGAUGGAAAUACAUGGGGUCGGCUUAGAGGGGAAAUGAUGUGUUCAAGUUCAAAAUGUUCAGAAAAUGUCCUACAAAUGCAUUUUAACUCUGUUCAUUGUGGUGUAUAAAUUGUUGGAUACAAAAGUAUAAAUAAAAGAAAAAUAAUAAAAAAAAACAAACAGGAAAGGUGAAGCCACUUUGCCUGCUUUGGGCUGUAGGUAUGCCAAAAAACAAGCACAAACAAACAAAAAGCUCUACUAGCAGCUCCUAACUGCCUCUUACUGACUUCAACUUCCAGCCAGGAAGUUAUCCUUCCUGUGCAUGUUAAUGCUCACAUAACCAGAUGACCUUAGCUACAGUUAGAAAACUAGAUAUUUCUAAAAAAAAAAAAAAAAGAAUAGAAAAAAGAACACAAAAGAUUUAAUAACAGUAUCUCCUCAUAAAAAAAUAUAAAACAUUAUACCCCCCCCAAAAAAGCCAGAAAAGAGGUUAACAUUUUCUCCCUACCAAACAUUUAAUAACAUUAUCUUCUCAAUAAAAAAUAUAUUUUCUCCUCACUAAUUACAUAACAUUAUCGCCUCAUCUAACAUUUUAUAACAUUAUCUCCUUACUAAGAAUUUUAUAAACAUAAAUGUAAAAUCAAUGUAUGAUAUAUUUUUCUAUUCUGGUUUUAACUCUGUAAACUGUGUUUCAAACCCACCUGAGACCGUGCACGCUCUCUCAUCUUGCGCUCACGCCGGUCCUGGACGGUGGACAGGUAGUUGACGGCGGCGUACUCCAGCACAGAGAGGAAGACGAAGACGAAGCUCACCCAAAGGUAGAUGUCCACGGCCUUGAUGUAGGAGACGCGGGGCAUGGAGGCGUUAACGCCGGUGAUGAUGGUGGACAUGGUCAGAACGGUGGUGAUACCUGCACACAGACAUCAGUGGUUAAUGGAACAGCAGGACUCUCUGGAUUAGAGUUCUGCUGCUGGUUGACCCUCUUUGCUGUCCUCUCCACCUCCAACCGGUCCAUCCUUGCUGGUUCUGGUUCUGCUUUCCACUGUCUCGUUGUGCAGCUCAGAAUGGAAGACUGAAUCAAAGAGAAAAUUUCAUCCAAUCUGCUGGUUUCCUUAACUAGGUCAUUAUUUUUAUGAAUCGCUUUAUAUGAACCCAGUUAUCAUAAACUGGGCUAAUGUGGAUCAUUUUGAACUGAACUGAAGUGAAUCCAUCCAGAACCUGUGGAGGAACUACAAAGCAGAGUGACAGUAGAAAAGCUUCCAACCUCAAAGACAUGAAGAUGGUCUCGGAGGAGAAGACAGGAGAAAAAAGAAAAGGGGACUGAUAUAAAUCCAUCCAUCUGAAGAUCAGAAGGAGCUGUGAGAGGCUCUCAGCAGGAGAUGGAGCUGAUGUCAGGACGUUGCACUCAAAACAGAAAAUUAUUCAGAGCCAGUGUGAGGUGACAUGUAUGUGCAGUCCCAGCUGGUGGACGGGUGUCACAGCCAGCUUUCAUCCUCCGGCUCUUCAAAGCUUUUCAGUUGUUUCUCACCUAAAGAAACUCGGGCUGGUACGGCCCGCCGGUCGAUCCAGAACGACACCCAGGACAGCAUCACCAUGAGCGUAGCAGGGAAGUAGGUCUGCAGCAGGAAGAAGAAGAUGUGGCGUCGCAGGGUGAAGUUGAUGUAGAGACGGUUGUACCAGCCUGUAAACGCAGAGAGACUCGAUCAGAACAACAGAACUUUAAACCCAACAGAAUAUUUCUGAGACCACUGACCCGGGUUAGAAACACCUUCUCAGGUAAACUUGGAUAGCGAGACUUUAUCUGGCUAAACAUUAGUAAAAUUUGGAACUUCAAAUUUUAUCAGUCUGCAGCCGUCAGAUCACAGAAAAACAUUUUUUCCUCCUCCUCCCAAAGACAGAAAUACACAUUUUAUCUCCCUGCAGACCCCCUACCCGCCAUCCUGAUGCAGAGAAUUUAUCCCAGCUUCUUGUUUGUUUGUUUUCACUCUGAAAAGUUCUGAAAUCUGACAAGAAUCUCUGAUCUGGGGUCAAAAUGAAGAAAUAAAAACUGUGAAUCAGGUUAAAACUCAGUUUCAGAUGGAAUGGAAAUCCAAUCACCUGACUCAAACUGAACUUUCAAAAACCUGAAGAUGCCUCAUAUGGAGCAGAACUGACUGCAGACGUGAUUCAUCUGAACAUAAUGAUGAGAACUGAUUUCAUUUUACACAGAACUGCAGCAUCCAGCAGUCAUGUGACGGACAGGUGACGCACCUGUGCUGCUGUAGAAGGCCAAGCGAGACGUGGUGUGGAACUUCUGGAUGAGGAACUGAGAUAAGGAGAUCCUGUCAUCAGUGCUGAGUGACUCGUCGCCGCUCUUCCAGUACAGCAUCAGGUCUUCAUCUGUGUACGCAUCUGGAAAACAUCAGGGCUCUUCUCAGAACCGUUCACCUCAACGUUCACAUCAUUCAGCUUCCAGUCGACAUUCUGUCUUCUGGAUUUCUAUUCUGCUUCCUCCCCUCAGUUUAUUUUCAUUUCAUUCAGGUGUUUAUUAAAGUAAAAAACAUUCUCUUUUAUUAACUGAGUUCUGAUGAGGAAAUCCGGUUCUGUCCAAACUACCUGACAGAUUCUUCUGCAUGUAAACACACUCUGCUGAUCACUGAUCCAUUAACAUGAGUAACUGGUAUGAAUGCAGCGGGAACUGCUGCAGUCUGGUGCUGGGUCUGGAUGUCUGCAGGUCUAAUCAGAACAUUCUGCACCGCUAUCUGGACCCGGGUUCUGUCAGGUCUGACUGUUGAUGUGCAGCUGAUAGGCAGGAAACAGCUGGAGCAGGUUUUCCCCCGACCACAGUGAAAUGACUGGCUUUAAAGAGUAACUACACCUCCUACUUUUUGCGUAACUCCACCCACUGCCAAAUUUGAAAAAUGCCUGAA